ACGAACGCUGGCGGCGUGCUUAACACAUGCAAGUCGCACGGAAAGGCCCUGCUUUUGUGGGGUGCUCGAGUGGCGAACGGGUGAGUAACACGUGAGUAACCUGCCCUUGACUUUGGGAUAACUUCAGGAAACUGGGGCUAAUACCGGAUAGGAGCUCCUGCUGCAUGGUGGGGGUUGGAAAGUUUCGGCGGUUGGGGAUGGACUCGCGGCUUAUCAGCUUGUCGGUGGGGUAGUGGCUUACCAAGGCUUUGACGGGUAGCCGGCCUGAGAGGGUGACCGGCCACAUUGGGACUGAGAUACGGCCCAGACUCCUACGGGAGGCAGCAGUGGGGAAUAUUGCACAAUGGGCGGAAGCCUGAUGCAGCAACGCCGCGUGCGGGAUGACGGCCUUCGGGUUGUAAACCGCUUUCGCCUGUGACGAAGCGUGAGUGACGGUAAUGGGUAAAGAAGCACCGGCUAACUACGUG
rnacentral:rRNA from 1 species